CCGGCCAACAACGUCAAAGCAACGAGGUGAGGAAAAGAGGAGCAGCGCGGGAGAUAACAUAAACCGUGACAACACGGUAUUAUUGCACGCUCAUUCACCACGCAUAAUGCAUAAUAAUAACAACAAUAAUAAUAAUCAAACCGAAGAACGAGAUCGGUAGUAUUAUCGUCCACGGUAGCGUGUAGGCUAAUCACGACAACAUAGUUUGUAAGUGAGGAGACCAUUCGGAAAUCGAGUGUAGUCAAUAGUAUCGGUGAGAGCGGAGGAAGGUUUGGCUGUGUUUAUAUAGGUGAUAGCUACUAGUAGCAGCGACAGUAAAGAGCGUCCGUCAUACGCUCAUGCUCUUACCGGACGGGGGACGGAGCGGCACGACACGGAUUUAUCAGCGCUUUGGUGAUCGCUUGCCAGGACACCAAGACUGAAACUCUGCCCGUGAUCAAAUAAAGAUAUAAUUUCACCUGGGAGAAGAAGAAGAAAAAAAAACAAACAAAACAAGACAAAUCGAAUUUACACCUGAAAAUCUGAAAGAAAGGAGAAGAACUGUAAACCGAGGAAGACGGAGAGCGGAAAACAAACCGUAUAAUUUGGAUUUUGGGUGUUUGAAACAUUUUGGAUAUUUUAUUUUCAAAUCUGAACCAUUUUAUUUAUUUUAUCUCUUGUUCUGUUGGACAUGUAUAAAAGAUUAUAUGUUAUGUAUACAUAUAUGUAUGUGACUGAAACGUUCACGUAACUGGACAAAGAGAAGCGCCCCCAUACAUUGACAUACCGUCCCACUAUACCCACAGCGGGUUAAACAAAGGAACCCCAGCUACAUAAAGACUGUUGCUGUUGAUGUACAUUAAUAUUUCACAUUUGCAGAGAGGCCGGAAGACUGCGUCUUAAAUAGAAGCCGCAGACAGAACCUCCAGGUCCAUCCAUAGGCACUUUCCUCCGGUGCCCCCCAAGUCUACUUCGAUCUCCAGGUCGCCGAUUUAGUGUCAAUCCCCGGGGCACAUCGGCUGCUCCCCCCCGCAACGUCUCAAUGAAGGAGGCCGACGCGAUUAAGCUGUUCAUCGGGCAGAUUCCCCGGAACCUGGAGGAGAAGGACCUGAAGCCAAUCUUCGAGCAGUUCGGGAAGAUCUAUGAGUUGACAGUGAUAAAGGACAAAUACACCGGAAUGCACAAAGGAUGCGCCUUCCUGACCUACUGUGCGAGAGAGUCAGCCCUCAAAGCCCAGAGCGCCCUGCACGAGCAGAAGACACUACCGGGGAUGAACCGACCCAUCCAGGUGAAGCCGGCCGACAGUGAGGGCAGAGGAGAAGACAGGAAGCUGUUUGUGGGCAUGCUGGGGAAGCAGCAGUCAGACGAGGAUGUGAGGAAAAUGUUCGAACCUUUCGGGACCAUUGACGAGUGCACAGUACUACGUGGGCCUGAUGGCACCAGUAAAGGCUGUGCGUUUGUGAAGUACCAGAGUCACGCGGAGGCACAGGCAGCCAUCACUGCCCUGCACGGGAGCCGCACCCUGCCGGGGGCGUCAUCCAGCCUGGUGGUGAAGUUUGCAGACACCGAGAAGGAGCGAGGGUUACGGCGCAUGCAGCAGGUGGCCUCCCAGCUGGGUGUCUUCAGCCCCAUGACACUGCACUUUGGGGCGUACAGUGCCUACUCGCAGGCGCUGGUCCAGCAGCAAGCUCUGGUUGCACAGUCGGCGUACCUGUCUCCAGUAGCAACAGUUGCCGCAGUGCAGAUGCAACAAAUGGCUGCCCUCAAUGCCAACGGCAUCAUCGCCACGCCCAUUGCAUCCAUCACCCCCUCCUCGGGUACAAAUACACCCCCCACCAUUGCGGCCACACCUGUGCCUGCCCUACCUCCACCCAUUGGAGUGAAUGGUUACAGUGCGGUUCCAGCUGCGGCCAAUGGGCAGCCAGCUUCUGAAGCUUUGUACACCAAUGGCGUUCACCCUUACCCAGCCCAGAGUCCUGCCCUGGAUCCUCUUCAGCAAGCAUACGCCGGCAUGCAGCAUUACACAGCGGCGUACCCGGCUGCAUAUGGAUUGGUCGGCCAGCCUUUUCCACAGCAACCCACCCUGGUUGCCCAGCAACACCAGCAGCCUCAGCAACAGCAGCAGCGAGAAGGUCCAGAGGGGUGUAACAUCUUCAUCUACCACCUGCCCCAGGAGUUCACCGACUCCGAGAUGCUGCAGAUGUUCCUGCCCUUCGGCAACGUCAUCUCUGCUAAGGUUUUCGUCGACCGCGCCACCAACCAGAGCAAAUGCUUCGGCUUCGUGAGUUUCGACAACCCGGCCAGCGCUCAGACCGCCAUCCAGGCCAUGAACGGCUUCCAGAUCGGCAUGAAGAGGCUGAAGGUGCAGCUGAAGAGGCCCAAGGAUGCCAACCGCCCCUACUGAGGCUCUUGGAUGUGGAGAGAGACCUUCCUGUCCAAUCAUAAAUCGUGGAGACCACGUCGCUAUGGCUACGGUUACCUAGCGACCAAUAAAGCCCCACCCCAUUCCUCUCACAGCGUUGUGGAACUUAAGGUGAAGUGUUGUGAAGAAAUCGCAGGGGGGAUCCAUGUUCUGACUUACCCUUAGUGUUUAGCAUAGCAUACACCCCAGCCCUGUGGUGAGGCAGCCACAUCUCACAACUCACUCACAAUAUUAACCAAUAUCUACAGACCCAAUGCACAAAUGCAUAUGCAGCUACAAAACAAACCUAUGCAUAUUUAAGAGGCAGACCGACACAUAUAAAUAUGUAUGUCUACACAGGUACAUGCUCAAAGAAACUGCAGAAACAUAUUAUCUUACCCGCAAAACAGAAUUAGGUGACUCAUUGUGCAAGGUGAAAUAUUUGUGGAGAAUGCCACGUGGAUGGGGAUGGAGAGAGGAUG